rnacentral:rRNA from 1 species
UACAGAGGGUGCGAGCGUUAAUCGGAAUUAUUGGGCGUAAAGAGCUCGUAGGCGGUUUGUCGCGUCUGCUGUGAAAACUCGGGGCUUAACCCCGGGCCUGCAGUGGGUACGGGCAGACUAGAGUGCGGUAGGGGAGACUGGAAUUCCUGGUGUAGCGGUGAAAUGCGCAGAUAUCAGGAGGAACACCGGUGGCGAAGGCGGGUCUCUGGGCCGUAACUGACGCUGAGGAGCGAAAGCGUGGGGAGCGAACAGG